GUCUACGGCCAUGCCACCCUGAACAAGCCCAGUGUCUGAUCUCAGAAGCUAAGCAGGGUCAGGCCUGGUUAGUACUUAGAUGAGAGACCACCUAGGAAGACCAGGUGCUAUAGGCA
rnacentral:rRNA from 1 species